AAGAAAGAGGGUUGAAACCUUCAUGACAAUGCUAGAGAAUUAACAGUGAGAGAUGCAUUAAGCAACAACACAGUUUUGCCUUUUACAAGCUCCCUGAGGUUUUUAUUUCAGUCAGAGGACCAAGAUUUCAGUUCAAGUCACUGGAAGAAAAGAGCUGUCAUUUAUGCUCUCUACUUACAGGUAAAUUGUCUUGUGAUUAUUUCCACAGAACUCUGACUUGGAUAAGUUCCCCAGAGGGCAAGACCAAGG
rnacentral:lncRNA from 1 species